GUAGGGAAUAUUGGUCAAUGGACGAAAGUCUGAACCAGCCAUUCCGCGUGCAGGAAGAAGAUUCUAUGGAUUGUAAACUGCUUUUAGCAGAGAAGAAACGCCUUCAUUGAUGAGGGUUUGACGGUAUCUGCGGAAUAAGCACCGGCUAACUCCGUGCCAGCAGCCGCGGUAAUACGGGGGGUGCAAGCGUUAUCCGGAAUCACGGGGUUUAAAGGGUGCGUAGGCGGGAAAUUAAGUCAGUGGUGAAAGUCUGUUGCUUAACGAUGGAAUUGCCGUUGAUACUGAUUUUCUUGAAUUGGGUUGAGGUUAGCGGAAUGUGACAUGUAGCGGUGAAAGGCAUAGAUAUGUCAUGGAACACAAAUUGCGAAGGCAGCUAGCUGGGUCUUGAUUGACGCUGAGGCACGAAAGCGUGGGUAGCGAACAGGAUUAGAUACCCUUGUAGUCC
rnacentral:rRNA from 1 species